rnacentral:rRNA from 1 species
AUGGAUAUUCACCUAGCUGGUCUACUCAGGACAACUUCUAUUUCAGAGAGUGCAAAUUCAUUUUUUAAACAUUUUAUCCGUCCCAAGCUUACCUUUGUUGAGUUUUGGCUUAGAUUUGACACUGCUUUGAAAGCUCAAAGGCAAAGUGAGCUAAUGGCUGAUAACACAAGUGAAUACACAACAAGUGAGUUGUUGACAUCAUGGGAAAUAGAGAGACAAGGCAGAGCACUAUUCACACAUGAGGUUUUUGAAUUGUUUCAGGCUCAGGUGCUUGCUGCCAGAGAUGAUUGUGAUGUUCAGCAGACAGAAAAUCGCGAGGGAAUUAAAAUCAUGUUUGUCAGCGAUCAAUACAACAAGAUUAGAGAAGUGUGUUAUGACACAACAUCCAUGAGUGCUAAAUGUUCUUGCAAGCUUUUUGAGUCCAAGGGAAUUGUGUGUCGUCACAUUAUCUGGGUAUUGAGGGGUGCAAAAAUAAAUGAAUUGCCAAGCCUUUAUAUUCUUAAGCGAUGGCAGAAAAUUUGCAAAAUGGACAUUGUCUAUGAUGGGGAAGGGAAUAUUCUUGAAGAAAAUUUAAUAGAUCCAAUUGACAUUACUGUGAAAAGGAAGAUAGUUGCUGUGAGGGAUAAGCUAGAAGAUCUCAUACGAAAUUCCAAAUGCUCCAUGGACGGAAUUGAAUUCCUGCACAAUAGUUUGUGUAGCACUGAGUUGGUUUAG